CAUGGAAAGCCAUCGUUGGCUCCGCUAGGCUUGUAAUGGCCUGGCCUGAAUGAAAGUCUGUGAAUCCUGUUCGUGUCGCGGUCAUGAACAUGCCAUUGUCUCUGCAGAUUCGUUUGAGAAUUGGAUUGGCUUAACAUGCCCUUGACUUUAACCAACUCGAUUCCGACCGUCGUGGUUUCCACAAUUCACACCUGAUCCUUGCUGUGGCAAGCCGCGAGCCCUCGAACGGGGAAGGGAAUGAGAAGGGGAAAGGGAAAGAAAGCCACCGGCGGUGCUGAUUCUGCGCCUAUCCCUGAAUGGGCAGAGCCGAUGAACGGGAGCCACGUCGAUGAGGUGGAGGAACUCCUCCGCGUCGCUCAGGAUGACGUCUUCCUUCGCCUGAACGUCAAUUCCCAUCGUCUCCAUUCUUCCUCUUCUGGUCUGGACGCCGAUCUCGAUCGAAGAUUUGCGGCACUAAAAGUCCCGUCCGCGCAAAAACCUAAUCCCUCCGCAGCGUGUAAUGAAUCGGAGGAAAAGCGUGGUCAAAUUGGGGACGGGAAGUCGGGCGACGUCUUCGGUGCGGAGCUAUCUGCCAGGUUCUUAGCUCUAAAGGGUCCGAUGAAAGGGGAAGCAGAUGUGGCAAUGAAGCAGCCCAUGGAUUCGUUAUCGGUGGCUGCUGGCAAUGGUUGUGGCGAAGACGAGGACUUCGACAGCGAGGUGCAGAAGUUGUUGGAGUGGGCAAAGGACGCAGCUCGUCUUGAUUCUUCUCGAAGUGAUGAAGAGGAUGAGGGUAGCGAUGGUGACGAUGACGAUGACGAUGACGAAAGCGAUGAUGAUAGAGCUGAGAGUAAAAUGAAGGUAGAAGUUGGGAAGAAAGAGAAGCGUAAACAAUGAAGAAUAAUUUUUUCGGUUGAAGAGAAAUCGUGACUCGAUUGCUAUCUGUAGAGGGUGAGAGCCUGUGCAGGGUUAACUCUGGGACACACUGGGACAAUGAAGUUUAUUUUAAGUGCCGACUUGAUAGCUUUUACCAGCAAGUGUAAUUUUUAUUAGAGAAGUUGUGAAAUAAACUGGAUGAUCCUGGACUACUGCAGAAUAACCAUUGUGCUUACUUUCAAACGAGAAGGGCUAAAGAUAAAGAGCACCACGGAUCUGUAUCACUCAAGUUGUUUGAUUGGCGCUCAGUCAAGUGGAAGAGCCGGAUACAUCCGAUCCGUCAUGCUUUAGCAGUUGGCAGUCUGGUGAGCCAAGGUCACAGUAGAGAAGGAUGAACGAGUUUGUUGGGGAAAGGAUGGUGAGAUUUGUCCACCUUCGAUGUUGCCAAAAUUGUUAUGCCAAAGAGAAGCAUGAGGGUUGCCUGGAAGUUCUGUGCCGACGUAAGCAGAUGUGUCACCCUCCUUCCCCAUUUGCUCAGAUCUGUCCUUUACUGUGCUACCCACUGCUUCUCUGGCUAUGAUCAAUCUGAUGAACUUUUCAAAUUUGUGGACAUUGUUAAUGGCUUUAUAUAAUAAAAAGGACUACUCGCCUCGCCACUGAUCGGAGUGAUGUGUCUGUGGCUGCCAUACUUUGGUGCAAACCGGCGGGCAGAAACUUCCUCCACUUGUCUUUUUUUUUUUUUUUUUUUUGGGAAUUCUUUGCAUAAUUUUCAU